rnacentral:rRNA from 1 species
CAGAGACCCCGAGCGUUAUCCGGAAUUAUUGGGCGUAAAGAGCGAGUAGUCGGUAGUGUUAGUCUGACGUUAAAUUCCGAGGCUCAACUUCGGAACCGCGUUGGAAACGGCACCACUAGAGCAGGUAAGAGGCAAGCGGAACGUGCAGUGUAGGGGUGAAAUCCAUUGAUAUUGCACGGAACACCAAAAGCGAAGGCAGCUUGCUAGUGCUUUGCUGACGAUCAAUUGCGAAAGCGUGGGGAUCAAAAAGGAUUAGAUACCCUUGUAGUCCACGCCCUAAACGAUGCUGACUAGCUAUUGGGGGCAUCGACCCCUCCAGUGGCGAAGCUAACGCGUUAAGUCAGCCGCCUGGGAAGUACGAACGCAAGUUU